AGUGAACGCUGGCGGUAGGCCUAACACAUGCAAGUCGAACGGCAGCACAGGAGAGCUUGCUCUCUGGGUGGCGAGUGGCGGACGGGUGAGGAAUACAUCGGAAUCUACUUUUUCGUGGGGGAUAACGUAGGGAAACUUACGCUAAUACCGCAUACGACCUACGGGUGAAAGCAGGGGAUCUUCGGACCUUGCGCGAUUGAAUGAGCCGAUGUCGGAUUAGCUAGUUGGCGGGGUAAAGGCCCACCAAGGCGACGAUCCGUAGCUGGUCUGAGAGAAUGAUCAGCCACCCUGGAACUGAGACACGGUCCAGACUCCUACGGGAGGCAGCAGUGGGGAAUAUUGGACAAUGGGCGCAAGCCUGAUCCAGCCAUACCGCGUGGGUGAAGAAGGCCUUCGGGUUGUAAAGCCCUUUUGUUGGGAAAGAAAUCCAGCUGGUUAAUACCCGGUUGGGAUGACGGUACCCAAAGAAUAAGCACCGGCUAACUUCGUGCCAGCCGCCGCAGUAA
rnacentral:rRNA from 1 species